GAUGAACGCUGGCGGCGUGCCUAAUACAUGCAAGUCGAACGAACAGACCCUGCGCUUGCUCCUCUGACGUUAGCGGCGCACGGGUGAGUCACAUGUGGAUCAUCUCCCUAUAAGACUGGGAUAUCCUCGGGAAUCCGGCGCUAAUCCCGGAUAAUAUAUUGAACCGUAUGGUUCAAUAGUGAAAGACGGUUUUGCUGUAACUUCUAGCUGGUUCCGCGCCGCAUUAGCUAGUUGGUAAGGUAACAGCUUUCCACGGCGACGAUGCCUAGCCGAGUUGAGGGGGUGGUCGGCGACACUGGGGGUGACAGGCGAUACAGGGACCGACGUGAGGCAGCAGUAGGGAAUCUAGCGCGAUGGGCGAAAGCCUGACGGAGGAACGGAGCGUGAGUGAUGAAAGUCUGCGGAUCGUAAGACUCUGUUAGGAGGGAAGAACAAUUGUGUAAGUAACUAUGCACGUCUGAACGUUACCGAAACAGAAGGCCACGGCUAAUAACGU
rnacentral:rRNA from 1 species